UACGUAGGGUGCGAGCGUUGUCUGGAAUUACUGGGCGUAAAGCGCACGUAGGCGGAUGUUUAAGUUAGGGGUGAAAUCCCAGGGCUCAACCCUGGAACUGCCUCUAAUACUGGGCAUCUAGAGUCCGAGAGAGGUGAGUGGAAUUCCGAGUGUAGAGGUGAAAUUCGUAGAUAUUCGGAGGAACACCAGUGGCGAAGGCGGCUCACUGGCUCGGUACUGACGCUGAGGUGCGAAAGCGUGGGGAGCAAACAGG
rnacentral:rRNA from 1 species